rnacentral:rRNA from 1 species
GACGAACUUUGGCGGCGUGCUUAACACAUGCAAGUCGAACGGAAAGGCCCUGCUUUUGUGGGGUGCUCGAGUGGCGAACGGGUGAGUAACACGUGAGUAACCUGCCCUUGACUUUGGGAUAACUUCAGGAAACUGGGGCUAAUACCGGAUAGGAGCUCCUGCUGCAUGGUGGGGGUUGGAAAGUUUCGGCGGUUGGGGAUGGACUCGCGGCUUAUCAGCUUGUUGGUGGGGUAGUGGCUUACCAAGGCUUUGACGGGUAGCCGGCCUGAGAGGGUGACCGGCCACAUUGGGACUGAGAUACGGCCCAGACUCCUACGGGAGGCAGCAGUGGGGAAUAUUGCACAAUGGGCGGAAGCCUGAUGCAGCAACGCCGCGUGCGGGAUGACGGCCUUCGGGUUGUAAACCGCUUUCGCCUGUGACGAAGCGUGAGUGACGGUAAUGGGUAAAGAAGCACCGGCUAACUACGUGCCAGCAGCCGCGGUGAUACGUAGGGUGCGAGCGUUGUCCGGAUUUAUUGGGCGUAAAGGGCUCGUAGGUGGUUGAUCGCGUCGGAAGUGUAAUCUUGGGGCUUAACCCUGAGCGUGCUUUCGAUACGGGUUGACUUGAGGAAGGUAGGGGAGAAUGGAAUUCCUGGUGGAGCGGUGGAAUGCGCAGAUAUCAGGAGGAACACCAGUGGCGAAGGCGGUUCUCUGGGCCUUUCCUGACGCUGAGGAGCGAAAGCGUGGGGAGCGAACAGGCUUAGAUACCCUGGUAGUCCACGCUGUAAACGGUGGGUACUAGGUGUGGGGUCCAUUCCACGGGUUCCGUGCCGUAGCUAACGCUUUAAGUACCCCGCCUGGGGAGUACGGCCGCAAGGCUAAAACUCAAAGGAAUUGACGGGGCCCCGCACAAGCGGCGGAGCAUGCGGAUUAAUUCGAUGCAACGCGUAGAACCUUACCUGGGUUUGACAUGGAUCGGGAGUGCUCAGAGAUGGGUGUGCCUCUUUUGGGGUCGGUUCACAGGUGGUGCAUGCCUGUCGUCAGCUCGUGUCGUGAGAUGUUGGGUUAAGUCCCGCAACGAGCGCAACCCUUGUUCACUGUUGCCAGCACGUUAUGGUGGGGACUCAGUGGAGACCGCCGGGGUCAACUCGGAGGAAGGUGGGGAUGACGUCAAGUCCUCAUGCCCCUUAUGUCCAGGGCUUCACGCAUGCUACAAUGGCUGGUACAGAGAGUGGCGAGCCUGUGAGGGUGAGCGAAUCUCGGAAAGCCGGUCUCAGUUCGGAUUGGGGUCUGCAACUCGACCUCAUGAAGUCGGAGUCGCUAGUAAUCGCAAAUCAGCAACGCUGCGGUGAAUACGUUCCCGGGGCU